rnacentral:ncRNA from 2 species
CUCUUAUCCAGAGUGGUGGAGGGAACGGCCCGACGAAGCCCGGCAACCGACGGAUCGCACGGUCCGCGCGGUGCCAAUUCCGGCAGCGGCGUUGCCGCUGAGAGAUGAGAG